rnacentral:rRNA from 1 species
UUCCCCUUCGGGGGACAAAGUGACAGGUGGUGCAUGGUUGUCGUCAGCUCGUGUCGUGAGAUGUUGGGUUAAGUCCCGCAACGAGCGCAACCCUUAAGCUUAGUUGCCAUCAUUAAGUUGGGCACUCUAAGUUGACUGCCGGUGACAAACCGGAGGAAGGUGGGGAUGACGUCAAAUCAUCAUGCCCCUUAUGAUUUGGGCUACACACGUGCUACAAUGGACAAUACAAAGGGCAGCGAAACCGUGAGGUCAAGCAAAUCCCAUAAAGUUGUUCUCAGUUCGGAUUGUAGUCUGCAACUCGACUACAUGAAGCUGGAAUCGCUAGUAAUCGUAGAUCAGCAUGCUACGGUGAAUACGUUCCCGGGUCUUGUACACACCGCCCGUCACACCACGAGAGUUUGUAACACCCGAAGCCGGUGGAGUAACCUUUUAGGAGCUAGCCGUCGAAGGUGGGACAAAUGAUUGGGGUGAAGUCGUAACAAGGUAGUCGUAUCGGAAGGUGCGGCUGGAUCACCUCCUUU